rnacentral:rRNA from 1 species
AACGAACGCUGGCGGCAUGCCUAACACAUGCAAGUCGAACGAGACCUUCGGGUCUAGUGGCGCACGGGUGCGUAACGCGUGGGAACCUGCCCUUAGGUUCGGAAUAACUCCCCGAAAGGGGUGCUAAUACCGGAUAAUGUCUUCGGACCAAAGAUUUAUCGCCUUUGGAUGGGCCCGCGUUGGAUUAGCUAGUUGGUAGGGUAAAAGCCUACCAAGGCGACGAUCCAUAGCUGGUCUGAGAGGAUGAUCAGCCACACUGGGACUGAGACACGGCCCAGACUCCUUCGGGAGGUAGCAGUGGGGAAUAUUGGACAAUGGGCGAAAGCCUGAUCCAGCAAUGCCGCGUGAGUGAUGAAGGCCUUAGGGUUGUAAAGCUCUUUUACCCGGGAUGAUAAUGACAGUACCGGGAGAAUAAGCUCCGGCUAACUCCGUG